rnacentral:tRNA from 1 species
UGGACCGGCUGCGGAGGUUUACCGGGCUGAGCUGGCAGCUCAGUGGGUUGCUGUGACGGCCGCUGGGCUGGAGGUUGAGUACCGCCCGGGACCGU